rnacentral:rRNA from 1 species
GACGAACGCUGGCGGCGUGCUUAACACAUGCAAGUCGAACGGAAAGGCCCUGCUUUUGUGGGGUGCUCGAGUGGCGAACGGGUGAGUAACACGUGGGUAACCUGCCCUUGACUUUGGGAUAACUUCAGGAAACUGGGGCUAAUACCGGAUAGGAGCUCCUGCUGCAUGGUGGGGGUUGGAAAGGUUCGGCGGUUGGGGAUGGACUCGCGGCUUAUCAGCUUGUUGGUGGGGUAGUGGCUUACCAAGGCUUUGACGGGUAGCCGGCCUGAGAGGGUGACCGGCCACAUUGGGACUGAGAUACGGCCCAGACUCCUACGGGAGGCAGCAGUGGGGAGUAUUGCACAAUGGGCGGAAGCCUGAUGCAGCAGCGCCGCGUGCGGGAUGACGGCCUUCGGGUUGUAAACCGCUUUCGCCUGUGACGAAGCGUGAGUGACGGUAAUGGGUAAAGAAGCACCGGCUAACUACGUG